UACGGAGGGUGCAAGCGUUAUCCGGAUUCACUGGGUUUAAAGGGUGCGUAGGUGGGCUUGUAAGUCAGUGGUGAAAUCUCCGUGCUUAACAUGGAAACUGCCAUUGAUACUAUGGGUCUUGAAUUAUCUGGAGGUUAGCGGAAUAUGUCAUGUAGCGGUGAAAUGCUUAGAUAUGACAUAGAACACCAAUUGCGAAGGCAGCUGGCUACAGGUACGUUGACACUGAGGCACGAAAGCGUGGGGAUCAAACAGG
rnacentral:rRNA from 1 species